AUUGAACGCUGGCGGCAGGCCUAACACAUGCAAGUCGAGCGGAUGACGGGAGCUUGCUCCUUGAUUCAGCGGCGGACGGGUGAGUAAUGCCUAGGAAUCUGCCUGGUAGUGGGGGACAACGUUUCGAAAGGAACGCUAAUACCGCAUACGUCCUACGGGAGAAAGCAGGGGACCUUCGGGCCUUGCGCUAUCAGAUGAGCCUAGGUCGGAUUAGCUAGUUGGUGGGGUAAUGGCUCACCAAGGCGACGAUCCGUAACUGGUCUGAGAGGAUGAUCAGUCACACUGGAACUGAGACACGGUCCAGACUCCUACGGGAGGCAGCAGUGGGGAAUAUUGGACAAUGGGCGAAAGCCUGAUCCAGCCAUGCCGCGUGUGUGAAGAAGGUCUUCGGAUUGUAAAGCACUUUAAGUUGGGAGGAAGGGCAGUAAGCUAAUACCUUGCUGUUUUGACGUUACCGACAGAAUAAGCACCGGCUAACUCUGUGCCAGCAGCCGCCGUAA
rnacentral:rRNA from 1 species